rnacentral:rRNA from 1 species
CAUAACUGACGCUCAUGGACGAAAGCCAGGGGAGCGAAAGGGAUUAGAUACCCCUGUAGUCCUGGCCGUAAACGAUGAACACUAGGUGUCGGGGGAAUCGACCCCCUCGGUGUCGUAGCCAACGCGUUAAGUGUUCCGCCUGGGGAGUACGCACGCAAGUGUGAAACUCAAAGGAAUUGACGGGGGCCCGCACAAGCGGUGGAGUAUGUGGUUUAAUUCGAUGCAACGCGAAGAACCUUACCAGGGUUUGACAUCCUGCGAAUCUCUUGGAAACGAGAGAGUGCCUUCGGGAACGCAGUGACAGGUGGUGCAUGGCUGUCGUCAGCUCGUGUCGUGAGAUGUUGGGUUAAGUCCCGCAACGAGCGCAACCCACGUCGUUAGUUGCCAGCAUUUAGUUGGGCACUCUAGCGAGACCGCCGGUGAUAAACCGGAGGAAGGUGUGGAUGACGUCAAGUCAUCAUGCCCCUUACAUCCUGGGCUACACACGUACUACAAUGCUACGGACAAAGGGCAGCAAACUCGCGAGAGCUAGCAAAUCCCAUAAACCGUGGCUCAGUUCAGAUCGUAGGCUGCAACUCGCCUACGUGAAGGAGGAAUCGCUAGUAAUCGCAGGUCAGCAUACUGCGGUGAAUACGUUCCCGGGCCUUGUACACACCGCCCGUCACACCAUGGAAGUUGGCCACGCCCGAAGCCGUUACUCCAACCUUGUGGAGGAGG